CACAGCCAUUUUGGGCCAUGAGGAUGGAACACACAACCGAAGGCUGAAGGGUAGUCCAGGCUUCAUACGACAGCUCAAGUCCCCAAGAGCAGCAAGAGGGCAAGGCCUUAUGCCCAAGUGUUUUGCAAGUCUCUGCUUGCUACUGUCUCUUUGGCCAAGGUGUUUACACAAACACAUUCUUCAAGAUUCUGUCUAGAAAUGUGACUAUGAUCAAUCCAGGGAACCAUGUUAAGCUAAGCUGCUGCUUCCUUCCACCAAAGACUAAUUAAUUGCAAGCCUGAAGACUACACAAGGCACUUCAUGGGAGGAAAAAACACCCUCUCCUGCCCUAGGUGAAUGCUUAUACCACAGAUGACAGUGGGAAGAUCUUUCAAGGGCUCAGUAAGUAUUAAAGUAUUAGAGUUUUAUCUCAUUUGAAAGAACUGACUUAUGCCGACUGCAAGCCGAGUUUCUUUUCUACUGCAAAGUUACCAGAUACUACUGUAUUAAAAACAGGUUUGUGGACAUGAUGCAAACUGCCAUGAAAUCUUUACAGCUAACACUCACUCCAUCACUGCCACACACCGUGUUGGAUCCUGCCCCUCAUAGUAACACCUGUCACCUGAGACAAAGCUUUCUUUAAUCCUUCCACUCUUUCUCCCCCACAUCCAGUCAUCUUCAGUUCUUAAGGACCCGCCUCUUCCUUUCAUUUCCAUUUCCCUCAGCCCAGUUAUUCACCUGUUAACCUCACACUAGCACUAAGCAACAGUCAUCUAACUGGACCCCUAGUCCUCAGCCUCAUUCAUCUUCAUUAUCAGUCCUGCCCUUGAGCUAAAUUAACAUUCUCAAAUCACUAUCUCUUGGAACAUGUUAUCACCCCCUUCAAAGCCUAUAACAGUUCUUUAUUACCUCAGAGAAACUUUCCGAAUGCUUCGGAUCUGCCAAAAAUCCAAUGUCAAUCCAGUCACCGUUGCAUCCCUUACUAUUCACUCCCCCCAAACAGGCCAGAGACCCUGCCACUCCUCCUGCGGGCUUGGACUGCUUCCCUCCGGAAUGUUCCCCAACUUUCCCAAUGCUUCUCCCAUUGUCCAGGUUAGAGGUCAAAGUGGUGCUGUUGCUGGUUUUGAAGAUGAAAGAGGCCCACAAGCCAAGGAAUACAGACAGCCUCUAGAAACUGGAAAGGCAGGGAGAUGGAAUCUUCCCUGGAACAUCUAGAAGGAAACCCUGCUGACACCUGGACUGUAGCUCAGGGAAACCCAUUUCAGACUCUGACCCUCCAGAACAUAUGGAUGAUAAUGUGGUGUUCUAAGACCCCAGUGUGUGGUCAUUUGUUAUGGCAGCACGUCCCAAUCGCUUAAAAUUAGGCAGAUGCUAUGCUAGAAGCUGAACGCUCAUUACUUCCCUCUGUCACCCCACAGCCCUUGGAACAGUUACUACUGUUACUUCAUUUCAUUUGCAAGGCAAAAUAUUUAAGUUACGAAUGUAGAUAAACAAUUAAUAAGCCCAUGAAAAGAUAUUCAACAUCAUUAGUCGUCAUAGAAAUGCAAUUAAAGCUGUAAUAAAUAUCACAAUAAGUAUCAUUAGAAUGGCUAACAUAAAUCCUGACAAUACAAAGUCGUUGUGGGGCACGGUUGGAGCUCUCGUACAGAGCUGAUGGGAGCAUAAAUUGAUCCAACGGCUUUAGAAAACAAUUCAGAUGAGCUACUAAAACUGAACCUAUAUGUGUCCUAGGAUCCAGCACUCCUGGAUAUAUACUCCACAAAGUGGUGUAAACACGGUCACCACAAGCCAGGUGCUGUGUGUUAGAAGCAUUAUUUUAACUGGGAACCAAGCCAAGUGCCCACUGGCAAAAGAAUAGAGAAAUUGAGAUGAAUUCAUACA